rnacentral:misc_RNA from 1 species
CCAGUUGAUACUCUCGGGACGUGAGCAUGUGCAUACGACAACGCUGGCGAUGGAGAUAAGAAUUCCAGGGCUCACAGACGUAACUUCAUUAUCCAGAUUAUUUAUUGUCACUUUGACGUUAUAAACACCACUUUAAUAAUGUUUUGAACACAGUCGUGAAAUGAAGAAAAGAAAGCAUUGAAAUGCUGGAAAGUCUGUCAGUUGAACUAUUUGGCGUUUGUCACGGGCUUCUACUUUAGCAAAUUUUUCGCAAAGCAGAAAAACACUUUCACGACCGGCUGGGAGCUGUCCGUGUCAACAACCCGUGAAAAAUCGUCGAAGAUGGCGGCUUUCCAAUUUAAACAUGGCCGCCACUUGAAAACAUCCGAAUGCCUAUGUUCGAGCUUUUUUACUCUGUCG